AGAGGACGUUGGUUUGGUCGUAAAAGUAUAGGUACAUACACAGCUAGUAGUCAACAAUGUACCUUUUCUUGCCGUAGGUACGUGCGGGGUUUAGUAUACGACGAAAGUGUUAUAUGAGUAGUGCAUCAUUAUUAAUUUGUUCACCUGUAUCUCCCUACGGCUAGUAGUGUGCGCUGCCAUAUCAUCAUCGUCAUAGAUAUGUUAAUAGUUUCGGGGUUGACGGAUUGGUGAUGCGUGUGGUUGCGUUCGGCUAUUCGUGCAGCACCAUGCUAGUUCAGU
rnacentral:rRNA from 1 species